rnacentral:lncRNA from 1 species
UCUCCAACCUGCAACCACUCGAUGCUGAUACUCACCCUCGACACCACCACCCCUCAACGCAGCAACCACUCGAACCCUAGCCCAAGACUCCCAAACCAGAACGCACCGUGAAGGAACCCUAUUCCAAGACCACCGUGAAGGAACCCUAUCCGAGAAAGUGAGGGAGGGUGAAGAAAAGGCGGGACGUGAAAAGGGAGGGAAGUGUCUGAAGAAAACGACGAACUCGACGAAGGGUUUCCGAAAGUGAAAUUGGGGAACGAAAACCCUAACUGAGAUUUUAAAUCAGGGAGGAACUUACCGACGGCUCAAAAGCCUUCGAUAAGCAUAUCAUUACCCACGGCCUCAAGGCCUUCGGUAAUAUGUCGUAGAUAAAUCGCGCUUUUCCUGUAGUG